GCUUGGGUUAAUAAUUCUGCCUCAGCCGUCAUAGAAUGCUGUAGAAUGUUCUCCUAUUCUGUUUGUAGCUUUCGUUGCAGAUUAUUGUUUGUGAUCUUAUACCACAGAGAACAGACAUUCAUGUUCAUAUAAAGAAAUUUGAAAAUCGUGUGUAAAAAUUUGAAUCAAAAUACGUUAAUACACUAACGACAUCUGUCUAAUGGUGCCCCAGUUGCACUGCAUAAAUAUUGCUGUAUCGAUAUUUUAUCGAUAUAAGUGCUUGGUUUGUCGCUGCUUCAUUUUAACUCUAAUUUGAUUUGGAUCUACUCAGUUUGGUAUUCUUAUGCAAAAUGUCAAAAAGUGAGUUAUCGGAUACUGGAUAAUUGAGUAACAUUCACCCAAAUUUUCAUAAUUACCAUGUUUACUCAGUUUUGAGUUAUUAUCCAUGAUGUUUACUCACCCCUGAGUAUAUGUAUAUGUCAAAAGUUUUCAACAGCGAUAUUAUCUGUUUCCGAAGAACAAUUGGUGUCGCAUUUUAUUCGUUUGCUAGCACCCAACAUCAUUAUUGCAGAGGAUUUGAAAACAUAAAAAACAUCUCUUCAAAAUGAACAACCGCAUGUUGUGUGUCCUGCGAUGCCGUUUCAAGUCGGGCUUUUAUUCGUGAUAAUGAACGGAAACAUUUGUAUCGAUGUACAGUGCCCAAUACAUGCAAUCGAUACAAUUUAAAUCCUUCGCAGUGUUUGGUGACGGAUGAUGACGGAUUUUCUGGUGUGCGUACUGUACAAAAACAUGAGCCACAGUUCACGGGCAACUGUGAACCGGUUGGUUGCCGCAUUAUAUAAAGACACGUGAAUGAUUGAAAACUUUUAUAAUUUUUCGAUGAAAAAUAAAUCUAUGAUUUUGAUUGUUCUGAA